rnacentral:rRNA from 1 species
UACGUAGGGUGCGAGCGUUGUCCGGAAUUAUUGGGCGUAAAGAGCUCGUAGGCGGUGUGUCACGUCGGCCGUGAAAACCUGGGGCUUAACUCUGGGCGUGCGGUCGAUACGGGCAUCACUAGAGUUCGGCAGGGGAGACUGGAAUUCCUGGUGUAGCGGUGAAAUGCGCAGAUAUCAGGAGGAACACCGGUGGCGAAGGCAGGUCUCUGGGCAACAACUGACGCUGAGGAGCGAAAGCGUGGGGAGCGAACAGG